UACGUAGGGUGCGAGCGUUAAUCGGAAUUACUGGGCGUAAAGCGUGCGCAGGCGGUUUUGUAAGCCAGAUGUGAAAGCCCCGGGCUCAACCUGGGAAUGGCAUUUGGGACUGCAAGGCUUGAGUGCGGCAGAGGAGACUGGAAUUCCAGGUGUAGCGGUGAAAUACGUAGAUAUCUGGAGGAACACCGGUGGCGAAGGCGGCGUUCUGGACUGCAACUGACACUGAAGAACGAAAGCCAGGGGAGCAAACGGG
rnacentral:rRNA from 1 species